rnacentral:rRNA from 1 species
GACGAACGCUGGCGGCGUGCUUAACACAUGCAAGUCGAGCGAGAAAGCUCCUUCGGGAGUGAGUACAGCGGCGAACGGGUGAGUAACACGUGGGCAACCUGCCCUCAGGAGCGGGACAACCCGGGGAAACUCGGGCUAAUACCGCAUAAUCCGUCGUGCCUCAAGGCGUGACGGCAAAUGGUAGCUUCGGCCUCCGCCUGUGGAUGGGCCCGCGGCGCAUUAGCUUGUUGGUGAGGUAACGGCUCACCAAGGCGACGAUGCGUAGCUGGUCUGAGAGGACGAUCAGCCACACUGGGACUGAGACACGG